GAUGAACGCUGGCGGCGUGCCUAAUACAUGCAAGUCGAGCGAACAGACGAGGAGCUUGCUCCUCUGACGUUAGCGGCGGACGGGUGAGUAACACGUGGAUAACCUACCUAUAAGACUGGGAUAACUUCGGGAAACCGGAGCUAAUACCGGAUAAUAUAUUGAACCGCAUGGUUCAAUAGUGAAAUACGGUUUUGCUGUCACUUAUAGAUGGAUCCGCGCCGCAUUAGCUAGUUGGUAAGGUAACGGCUUACCAAGGCAACGAUGCGUAGCCGACCUGAGAGGGUGAUCGGCCACACUGGAACUGAGACACGGUCCAGACUCCUACGGGAGGCAGCAGUAGGGAAUCUUCCGCAAUGGGCGAAAGCCUGACGGAGCAACGCCGCGUGAGUGAUGAAGGUCUUCGGAUCGUAAAACUCUGUUAUUAGGGAAGAACAAAUGUGUAAGUAACUAUGCACGUCUUGACGGUACCUAAUCAGAAAGCCACGGCUAACUACGUG
rnacentral:rRNA from 1 species